AUUGAACGCUGGCGGCAUGCCUUACACAUGCAAGUCGAACGGCAUCGCGGGAAAGCUUGCUUUCCUGGCGGCGAGUGGCGAACGGGUGAGUAACACAUCGGAACGUACCGGCUAGUGGGGGAUAACCCGUCGAAAGACGGGCUAAUACCGCAUACGCUCUUCGGAGGAAAGCAGGGGACCUUUGGGCCUUUCGCUAGCCGAUCGGCCGAUGUCCGAGUAGCUAGUUGGUGGGGUAAAGGCCUACCAAGGCGACGAUCGGUAGCGGGUCUGAGAGGACGAUCCGCCACACUGGGACUGAGACACGGCCCAGACUCCUACGGGAGGCAGCAGUGGGGAAUCUUGGACAAUGGGGGCAACCCUGAUCCAGCAAUGCCGCGUGGGUGAAGAAGGCCUUCGGGUUGUAAAGCCCUUUCGGCAGGGAAGAAAUCGGCGGGGCGAAUAACCCUGCUGGAUGACGGUACCUGCAGAAGAAGCACCGGCUAACUACGUG
rnacentral:rRNA from 1 species